AAUUAGCCUCCGAAUAUUCGAUGUGACACGGACUAAACUUUAGCUCAGGAACCAAACGCCCCCCCUAAGUCCUGACUCAAAAGGCAUGCACUGGCAUAGGUUUAAUGAAUACGUCAUACUUAUUUUUGGGUCAAGGGGCGAUAGUUCAUCUAAGUUUGUUGAACGCCCUUAAUAAUCGGGAUUUUGGCAUAAUUAAUCUAGAUGGACCCCUAGAAAAUUUCUAAGAAAGCUUUGCGUUAUGGGCAUAGCAUAAGGGAUUGCAUGCUCACGAAUGGAAAUAUGAUACCAUAAGGUGUUGGUAUUCAGGUGCUAAUUUUGCAAGGAGUGUUGAUAUAUAAAUUCCACAUGAGUCUUCACUCUUGCUCCAGUCUGGGGGGAGCUACAUUGUGGAAGGCUCCAACCAAGCUCACUAAAAAUAAUUGAUGUUUCCAUUCUCAGUUGUGACAUAUCUUCAAUCUAAAUCAGAAAUUAAGUUUUCAGCAUGAGACCAAUUUGAGUUACUAGACAAUUUAUUUUAGCUUAAGAAAUUGAUCCUGGAAUCACCAUAAGAAGUGCAAUUUAACUUUGCUAUAACAAGUGCAAUUCAAUUUUGAGUAACAUGUCUGGUCGUAUUGCCAAACGUAUGACAUUGUGAAAGAAAGAUCCAGAAUCAUAUGUUAAACUUAGUAUAAUGAUUAAGCUCAUGCUCUAAUGAUAUAAGUCAAUGUUCAACAUAUAAGUGUUAAGGGUCAAACAUCAUUCAGGCUAUGUGUUCCUAAUUAAAGGCUCGUCUCAAUUUAUGCCGGCUUUAUGAAUUGUGACGAUCUGCAAUUUUAGGAUAAUUGAGAUCUCAAAUUCUUGAUUCUGGACACAUAACUGUUUUCUUAUUAUUGAGUGCACAUGAUGAAAUUGAAAACGAUUUGCACAUAAGGACCAUAAGUAAGAAGGUCAUCUCCCAUUAUGAAUAAGUAACUAUCCAAUAGAAGUAAAUUGGCAUAUUGUGGGCAAUGAAGUUGCAAUGGUGUUUAUCAACUGUUGUAACGCGUUACCUCGUAUGUUUUUCUACUAUGAGUGGAACUGAUGAUAAUAAGCCUUACGAUCAAGAGGAAGAAUGUUGAAAUCGAUCUUGACUUAGUCAAAGGACCAAAUCUUAAGGGGGGGUUAACUACCUAACUACCAUCCCACAUUGCCCUGGUUUGGGGGGCAACAAACUGACCAACAGCCUGGUCCCAAAGACUGGCCGGUGCUAUAUAAGAAGGGGCACUCCACCCCAAACAACUUGAAGGUAAGUUCUCCUCCUAAUCAGUUUUGCACGGGCACGGACUUGAAGACCUCCACCGGUCACCGUUCUGCGGUAAUGGUGUUUCUCGUCAGGAUCGACAUCAUGCCUGCUUCCUCAGCGCCCUUUAAGGGGAUCUUCUAAGCUACAUGUAAGUCAGAUUAAGUCCUGAUUAAUUAUUGUCUUAGGUGUUCAUGUAAUUAGGCUACCAGAUCCGUCAAUCAGAAAUGUGUUAUUUUCUACAGUCCAGUCUUCUCUAGCCGGGAUGUGCGCGUCCACCCAAUCAAAAAUUUUAUCCCAGACUCGAAUGGUAUAGCGGCAUUGUGUUAGCAGGUGGAGAAGGUUCUCAUUAUGUGAAUGAAUGACAUAACAUGUAGACCUUAGAACUAAGAGCAUUUUUGACUGGGAUCGAGGACCAAUUUACUGUAGUCAAACGACUCCUGAUGGCUACGCCGUGCAUGUAUUGUGCAGUGAGCUAUGACCAAAGAGAAAAAUGUCAAUAGGGAUGUAAGAUAGGUGAGGUAUCGUAUCCCAGUAUCACUCGAAACUUGCUGAACGAUGUGACAUGACCAUGAUCGGGACCUGGUUACAUGACCUCUGUUUUUGCUCCCUACCAGGUAAGUGAAACCACGCUGAAAGUUUUGCGGCUCGAUCCUGGUUCCUGGGCUACAGCAACAACUGCUUGCAGCAGGCUCUGAUCCAUUAUCACUUGGCUUGGGCCACGCGCAGCUUAGUGAGAUAGCCCUCAAAAUGAAUGUUGGAACUUCCAAAUCCAACAUAAAGGCCCAUUUGGAGUGCAGGAAAUGUUUGCGGUUCCUGAAACACAUGUAAAAGUAAUGUAGAAUUUCUGCAUUCCAAAGUGGUCAUAUGAAGCGGCAAAUGAUUGCUCGUGUUUUAUAGCUGAAUGGAAAAAAUAAAUUUCCAGAUGAAAAUUCACCAAAACUCACUCGAAUUUCGAUUAAUUUGUCACGGACAUGAUUUUCAAAUUUCAAUACAAUUAAAAAAAUUUAGGAAACAAAUGAAGGUAAAGUUCCUUUCCUCGGCACUUGGCAGUGAACCCACUUCGCUCGCAGUUCUUUCCUCCCUCCGUCAAGCUCUGCCCCCGGACGAAUUUCACCUUGCGUCCCCCAAUCUCGCGCUGAGCCCUAGCCGAUCUGCGAUCCUCUCUCCGGCGAUUGCCAGGGGAGGGGACUCGAUGGAUCCGCUUCCGCCGCCGCCGCCGCUGCCCGACGACGCGCUCGCGGGCGUCCUCCGCCGCCUCGCGCCGCGGGACCUCGCGGCGUCCCGCUGCGUCUGCAGGGCGUGGCGCCGCGUCGUGGACGACCGGCGCCUGCUGCGCGCCGACCUCCUCCCGCGCUCGCUGGGCGGCAUCUUCCUCAACCUGCACGACCUGUGGUUCACGCAGUUACGUUACCUGGCAUGGUAGGGAAGGGGAGGCUGCAGGAACGUUACCUGGCAUGGUAGGGUCAGCAAGAUUUUUCUAUCAUCAGGGUUGCUACUGGCGAGGAUCACUCAAUAUAUGCUGCUCCGACUGUUUUGUUAUGAGAAUAUCACUGUCAGACAACAAGUAUCGAGUAAUUAGAUUGCCCACAGAGGAUAGAGAAUUCUAUCUAGGAAAAUCAAUCAACAAUGUGAUGGGCCAUGGAUCUUACAAUAAUUUUACUAUUGGCGACAUGAACAAGAUUCUGAUGAAGAUUCUGAUGUGGGGGGUAACGAAGCAAUUGUGGAAGAGAAAAUGGGAGAGAAAUUUGAGUGGGACUCUGACAAUGAUAAUGUUCUCGAACAUGGAGGUAGGAGCAAGGAUUCUUACAUUGUCUUUCAUGGAUUUCAAUCCUUACAAAGAGGUUGUCUUUUUGAGUGACAAAUUCGACAGAGUGCUAGCCUAUAAUUGGAGUAGCUCAAAGCUCCAAGAUUUGGGCCAGCUUUUCCCGAAAUUUUAUAUUGAACGCGACCUUCUAUUCCAACAUCGGUUAGCAAGUGCAUCUUUCCCAUACACUCCCUGCUGGUUGGGGGAGCUUCCUGAAAAACAAAAUUAAGAAGCUCAUCAGCUAGGAUUUUAGAAUGCAUAUUUUACAAGCUAUUAUGAAGAAUGCCUUCAUGUCGGGGGUGGAUCGCCAGUUCGCUCUCACAACGACCAGACCCCACAUCGAGAAACGUCCUGUGCUGGGCGCGCAGAAGAGUAG